rnacentral:rRNA from 1 species
AGCAGCCGCGGUAAUUCCAGCUCCAAUAGCGUAUAUUAAAGUUGUUGCAGUUAAAAAGCUCGUAGUUGAAUUUCGGGGUUAGUAGGUUGGUCAUGCCUCUGGUAUGUACUGGUCUCACUGAUUCCUCCUUCCUGAUGAACCUUAAUGCCAUUAAUUUGGUGUUUUGGGGAAUUUGGACUGUUACUUUGAAAAAUUGAGUGUUUAAAGCAAGCUAACGCUUGAAUACAUUAGCAUGGAAUAAUGAAAUAGGACGUUCGAUCCUAUUUUGUUGGUUUCUAGGAUUGACGUAAUGAUUAAUAGGGAUAGUUGGGGGCAUUAGUAUUCAAUUGUCAGAGGUGAAAUUCUUGGAUUUAUUGAAGACUAACUACUGCGAAAGCAUUUGCCAAGGAUGUUUUCAUUAAUCAAGAACGAAAGUUAGGGGAUCGAAGACGAUCAGAUACCGUCGUAGUCUUAACCAUAAACUAUGCCGACUAGGGAUCGGAUGAUGUUAAUUUUUAAUGACUCAUUCGGCGCCUUACGG